GCCAGAUAAGUCAGUGGUGAAAGCCCAUCGCUCAACGGUGGAACGGCCAUUGAUACUGUCUGGCUUGAAUUACAAGGAAGUAACUAGAAUAUGUAGUGUAGCGGUGAAAUGCUUAGAGAUUACAUGGAAUACCAAUUGCGAAGGCAGGUUACUACUUGUGGAUUGACGCUGAUGGACGAAAGCGUGGGUAGCGAACAGGAUUAGAUACCCUGGUAGUCCACGCCGUAAACGAUGGAUACUAGCUGUUGGGAGCGAUCUCAGUGGCUAAGCGAAAGUGAUAAGUAUCCCACCUGGGGAGUACGGGCGCAAGCCUGAAACUCAAAGGAAUUGACGGGGGCCCGCACAAGCGGUGGAGCAUGUGGUUUAAUUCGAUGAUACGCGAGGAACCUUACCAAGGCUUAAAUGUAGAUUGACCGUUUUGGAAACAGAACUUUCGCAAGACAAUUUACAAGGUGCUGCAUGGUUGUCGUCAGCUCGUGCCGUGAGGUGUCAGGUUAA
rnacentral:rRNA from 1 species